GAUGAAGAACGUAGCGAAAUGCGAUAAGUAAUGUGAAUUGCAGAAUUCAGUGAAUCAUCGAAUCUUUGAACGCACCUUGCACCCUUUGGCAUUCCGAAGGGUAUGCUCGUUUGAGUGUCAUUGUACUCUCACACUUCCAAUUCUUUGGAUUGGGAGCGGUGGACUUGGGUGCUGCUGCUUACCGUGGCUCACCUCAAAUGUGUUAGUGCAACCGUUGGUUAGACAUAGUACAGCGUGAUAAGUAUCUUCGCUGGCGCCUCACUCGAGGGUGGCUGAUCAGGGCUCUGAGCUCCCAAUCGUCUUCGGACAAUCACUGACAACUUGACCUCAAAUCGAGUAGGACUACCCGCUGAACUUAAGCAUAUCAAUAAGCGGAGGA
rnacentral:misc_RNA from 1 species